UACGGAGGAUGCGAGCGUUAUCCGGAUUUAUUGGGUUUAAAGGGUGCGCAGGCGGAGGUGCAAGUCAGCGGUCAAAUUGCGGUGCUCAACGCCGUAGAGCCGUUGAAACUGGGGUUCUUGAGUGAGCGAGAAGUAUGCGGAAUGCGUGGUGUAGCGGUGAAAUGCAUAGAUAUCACGCAGAACCCCGAUUGCGAAGGCAGCAUACCGGCGCUCAACUGACGCUGAGGCACGAAAGUGCGGGUAUCGAACAGG
rnacentral:rRNA from 1 species